UUGCCACUAAUGACUUGUGAACUUUUUGGAGAAAAAGCAAGAAACCAAAACUUAUGAAAUGAAAAACAGAAAUACUAGCUCUGGGGAACUAGUUUCUUUUCAAGAAUCAUAUCAUCUGUAGAGAAAUCAGCUGCUUUCCUGAAUGUUCCUCGUCCGAAAUCUAGGUUGUAAGAGUCUGUAAGACCUUCCACCAGAUCAAAAUCAGGUUUCCAUCCUAGCUCAGCCUUUGACUUCUCGAUGGAUGUAAAGAAAUGCUGGUCACGGAAUG
rnacentral:misc_RNA from 1 species